rnacentral:rRNA from 1 species
UUACUGAUUUUCACAUAUACUACAAUGUUUUUGUAUAGUCAAUAGAUAGACCUGAAAGGGCGAAAUAUUAAACACAACUUUCAACAACGGAUCUCUUGGUUCUCGCAUCGAUGAAGAACGCAGCGAAAUGCGAUAAGUAAUGUGAAUUGCAGAAUUCAGUGAAUCAUCGAAUCUUUGAACGCAUCUUGCGCCCUUUGGUAUUCCGAAGGGCAUGCCUAUUUGAGUGUUUUGAAUCUCUCAAAUCCCUAUGGGUUUUCCUAUAGGUGAUUUGGAACUUGGGUGGUUUGCAGGCUGUUUCGGCCUGCUCAUCCUAAAUGCAUUAGCGAAGCUUGCUUCACUGUGAGCAAAGUUGACUGGUAUGAUAAGUAUCUUUACUGGAACACUUUGGUCUUUUGGUGAGCAGAUUCGCUUCCAACCUGCCCCAGACUUUGUCUGUGCAACAUUUUCAAUUUUUAACCUCAAAUUAGGUAGGACUACCCGCUGAACUUAA